rnacentral:lncRNA from 1 species
GAAGACACUCAGCGGCAAUCAUCCUACGUGGGUGCUGCAGUCGGAGGUCUGGGCCAAAGGAUGGAGGAGCAUAAGGGUGUUGGAGGGGGAAGGCUUAGUAUGGCUCUGUCGACGGAGGCGUGCACUGAGAGCAUUGGCAUGGUGUGGGACCGGGCUGGAAUGGUUAAGCCGCUAACCGCACCAAUGCGGCCACUCUUGGCGGAAUCAUUGCGAAUGGAGAGGGCAACCUGUAGUGGAGCCGUGCUCAAUGACAGGCCUACCAUCCGGCUCCCCCAGGCUUGGGAGUGCUUGAUAGAAGAGGC